rnacentral:snRNA from 1 species
GUGUCCUAAGAUGAGCUCAACGAGA